rnacentral:rRNA from 1 species
GAUGAACGCUGGCGGCGUGCUUAACACAUGCAAGUCGAACGGGAAACCUUUUAUUGCAGCUUCGGCAGAUUUCGCUGGUUUCUAGUGGCGGACGGGUGAGUAACGCGUGGGUAACCUGCCUUAUACAGGGGGAUAACAGUCAGAAAUGGCUGCUAAUACCGCAUAAGCGCACAGAGCUGCAUGGCUCAGUGUGAAAAACUCCGGUGGUAUAAGAUGGACCCGCGUUGGAUUAGCUGGUUGGUGGGGUAACGGCCCACCAAGGCGACGAUCCAUAGCCGGCCUGAGAGGGUAAACGGCCACAUUGGGACUGAGACACGGCCCAGACUCCUACGGGAAGCAGCAGUGGGGAAUAUUGCACAAUGGGGGAAACCCUGAUGCAGCGACGCCGCGUGAAGGAAGAAGUAUCUCGGUAUGUAAACUUCUAUCAGCAGGGAAGAUAAUGACGGUACCUGACUAAGAAGCCCCGGCUAACUACGUG